AGCCAUGGGGGGAAACCCUAGUUUCCACAAAUUAACAAGAUUGAAAGAGAAAUCAAAGCCAAAUCUUAUGCAUGAACCCAAUUCUCUAACAAUCUAAGCUUGUCCUUCAAAGUGGUAUAAAGGAAGAAAGUUCAAGUCAAGCGAAGCAACAAGGGAGUCAAGAUCGAGGUAAAUCUCAAGUUUAAUGUCAAGCUUUGCCCGGUUCGAACACACUUCAAGCCCGUCAUGCGUUCCGCAACUUUUGUAAAGAAGACAAUGUCAAAAUACUUUGUCUCAUUAGUUAAGUCUAGUAGUUAAAAACUUAAGUCUUGUCUUGUUUGCAUUUUUGAAAACUUAGUCGAAUGUAAGUACUUUAACUUAAUGGUUUCGUAGGUGAAACAAGGUUUGUUUUGA